rnacentral:lncRNA from 1 species
AUCCAUGACUGAAAACGUUGUUUCUUUUUUGUCCAAGCUCCCAUUUCAUGGGACUUUAGAUCUUCCUGGGAGCGUCCAGAUAUCAAGUGAAACUCCCAUUAUAAAAUUCUCUCUAGAGAUGAAGAGGCUCACAAAUCUCUGAUUGCCACGGUAGUGCCCAAGCUAUCAAGGCUUGUUGAUGAUCAGGCAUUGUAUGAUGCUGGUAUUAGCUUAUACUCUCCUCAGGGU